rnacentral:rRNA from 1 species
AUUGAACGCUGGCGGCAUGCCUUACACAUGCAAGUCGAACGGCAGCACGGGAGCAAUCCUGGUGGCGAGUGGCGAACGGGUGAGUAAUAUAUCGGAACGUGCCCAGUCGUGGGGAUAACGUAGCGAAAGCUACGCUAAUACCGCAUACGAUCUAUGGAUGAAAGCGGGGGGAUCGCAGACCUCGCGCGAUUGGAGCGGCCGAUAUCAGAUUAGGUAGUUGGUGNGUAAAGGCUCGCCAAGCCGACGAUCUGUAGCUGGUCUGAGAGGACGACCAGCCACACUGGGACU